rnacentral:rRNA from 1 species
AUACGGAGGAUGCGAGCGUUAUCCGGAUUUAUUGGGUUUAAAGGGAGCGUAGGCGGGCUGUUAAGCCAGCGGUCAAAUGUCAUGGCCCAACCUUGGCAUGCCGUUGGAACUGGCAGUCUUGAAUGCGCGCAAGGAAGGUGGAAUUCGUCGUGUAGCGGUGAAAUGCUUAGAUAUGACGAAGAACUCCGAUUGCGAAGGCAGCCUUCUGGAGCGUGAUUGACGCUGAGGCUCGAAAGCGCGGGUAUCAAACAGGAUUAGAUACCCUGGUAGUCCGCGCCGUAAACGAUGGAUGCCCGUCAUCGGCGACAGACAGUCGGUGACCGAGCGAAAGCAUUGAGCAUCCCACCUGGGGAGUACGCCGGCAACGGUGAAACUCAAAUGAAUUGACGGGG